rnacentral:rRNA from 1 species
CCUGCCCAAGAGAUCGGGAUAACACCUGGAAACAGAUGCUAAUACCGGAUAACAACAGAUGAUGCCUAUCAACUGUUUAAAAGAUGGUUAUGCUAUCACUCUUGGAUGGACCUGCGGUGCAUUAGCUAGUUGGUAGGGUAACGGCCUACCAAGGCGAUGAUGCAUAGCCGAGUUGAGAGACUGAUCGGCCACAUUGGGACUGAGACACGGCCCAAACUCCUACGGGAGGCAGCAGAU